rnacentral:rRNA from 1 species
AGCCGUAAACCCAAGUAAUUAAUGAACAAAAUUACUCGCCAGAGCACUACAAGCAACAGCUUAAAACUCAAAGGACUUGGCGGUGCUUUAUAUCCCUCUAGAGGAGCCUGUUCUAUAAUCGAUAAACCCCGAUAAACCUCACCACUUCUUGCUAAUUCAAUCUAUAUACCGCCAUCUUCAGCAAACCUUGUUAAGGCCUUAAAGUAAGCAAAAACACAUACAUAAAAACGUUAGGUCAAGGUGUAGUCUAUGGAGUGGAAAGAAAUGGGCUACAUUUUCUAACAUAAGAACACUACCCAACAGCAGCCUUUAUGAAAUUAAAAGCUAAAGGAGGAUUUAGCAGUAAAUUAAGAAUAGAGAGCUUAAUUGAAUAGGGCCAUGAAGC